rnacentral:rRNA from 1 species
GACGAACGCUGGCGGCGUGCCUAAUACAUGCAAGUCGAACGCAGUGGGGACGGGUGAGUAACACGUGGGUAACCUCCCAUCAGAGGGGAUAACACUUGGAAACAGGUGCUAAACCGAUCUUGAUGGAUGGACCCGCGGUGCAUUAGCUAGUUGGUGAGGUAACGGCUCACCAAGGCCACGCUGCAUAGCAGCCUCGAGAGGGUGAUCGGCCACAAUGGGACUGAGACACGGCCCAGACUCCUACGGGAGGCAGCAGUAGGGAAUCUUCGGCAAUGGACGAAAGUCUGACCGAGCAACGCCGCGUGAGUGAAGAAGGUUUUCGGAUCGUAAAACUCUGUUGUUAGAGAAGCGGUAUCUAACCAGAAAGCCACGGCUAACUACGUGCCAGCAGUCGCGGUAAUAC